CACCUCUCAAGCGUAGCUUGGUAUUGGGCCUCGCCUCCUCCCCCGAGGGCGGCGUGCCUGAAAAGCAGUGGCGGUCCGGUCUGGGCUUGAACGUAGUAAAUUUUCUCCCGUUCUGAAGUUCCACCCCGUGGCCAGCCAUAAAACCCCCCAUAUCUCAAG
rnacentral:misc_RNA from 1 species